GGGGAGCACAGACUCUUACAUAACGCAUAACACGUAAUGUAUAAGAAAAUGUACCAAUCAAAAUCCUUUAUUUCGUAGAAAGAAAG